rnacentral:lncRNA from 1 species
UGUUUUUAGAGGUUUAAUUGAUCAAUUAAUUACUUGCUGCUGUAGACACCAAAAAAAUCUGGUCAUGAACUAGAGAGAGAUGUGUCAGUGUUACUUAAGCCUGGUUGAUUUAAUGCACUGCUGAUUAUAUAAGGUCAUAUAACAAUUUAGGUUCCAAGGGGAUAUAAUGGUUAUCUGGUCAAACCCUGCAAUCAGCUAGGAUAUCUUCAACAACCAGGUUGCUCAGAGCCCUGUCCACAUUGAUCUUGGAUGUUUCCAAUGGUGGAAGCUGCAUUUGCAGCUUCUCUGUGCAACAUGUUCCAUCCAGUUCCUUACCACCCUCACAGUGAAGAAUUUCUUCCUGAUACCUAAUCUAAAAGGAGGAUUAUGUUGGUAGGAGGUAGAGGUAGGCUGCUGUGCUUAACUCAGCUUGGGAUGGAAGAUGCUGCCUUGCAGUAUCCUGGUCAGGAAGAGAAGAGCAGCUGUUGUGCCAGGUCAGGGUGUGAUGCUGCGGCUGCAGGUAGGACUCUGGGGCUCUGCUGCUGUGGUACAGCUUCUCCAAGGAGGAAGACUUUUUCUCCUGCACUCAUUUGGAGAAAGAGAAGAAAGCACAGAAUGUGGAGAGUCUUUUAACCAUGAUCCCAUACAGCUGAGGCUGCCAAAGUUUGGGAAGUAUGUUUUUUACUCUUUUGUUACCUCCACUGUGAACUUCCAAAAAACAUAGAUGCCUCACUCCUCACAGCUUGGCACAUCUGGCAGGACCUGCUUGGGAAGAAAGUGGAGAGACUGGGGAGUUGGUUGCCUAGGUAAUGAUGCUCUGCAGAAAGCCUUGUCAGGUUCUGUUUGUUGCUGAAGCCACCCUUUGUUUAAACAUGCUACCUCCAAGUUUUUCACAAAAAAAAAACCCACAGUGCUUUUUCAGCAGAGUUGAUGGGAUAGGAUUUAAAAACAAAAGUGGGGGGAGAAGGAUGGGACUCUUUUCUUGUAUCAGAAUUGAGAUGCAAAAUUUUUCAUGCACUUAAAUCAGCCUCUUUUCCAGAAAGGAAGUAAAUGUAUUUAUUAAUGUAAUAAAGGUAAGGCAAGUGUGCA